rnacentral:rRNA from 3 species
GGUUAAGUGACUAAGCGUACACGGUGGAUGCCUUGGCAGUCAGAGGCGAUGAAAGACGUAGUAACUUGCGAUAAGCCCAGAUUAGGUAGUAACAACCAUUUGAGUCUGGGAUUUCUGAAUGGGGAAACCCACGUGCAUAAGCACGUAUCCUUACCUGAAUACAUAGGGUAAGGAGGCGAACCGGGGGAACUGAAACAUCUAAGUACCCCGAGGAAAAGAAAUCAACCGAGAUUCCGAAAGUAGCGGCGAGCGAAAUUGGACUAGCCCUUAAGCUUUACACGUGUUAGACGAACGGUCUGGAAAGUCCGACGAUACAGGGUGAUAGUCCCGUAGUUGACGACGUGUGUUCAGUGAAAUCGAGUAGGGCGGGACACGUGAUAUCCUGUCUGAAUAUGGGGGGACCAUCCUCCAAGGCUAAAUACUACUGACUGACCGAUAGUGAACCAGUACCGUGAGGGAAAGGCGAAAAGAACCCCUGUGAGGGGAGUGAAAUAGAACCUGAAACCGUGUACGUACAAGCAGUAGGAGCAGGCUUUGUCCUGUGACUGCGUACCUUUUGUAUAAUGGGUCAGCGACUUAUAUUCAGUGGCAAGGUUAACCAUCUAGGGGAGCCGUAGGGAAACCGAGUCUUAACUGGGCGUUCAGUCUCUGGAUAUAGACCCGAAACCAGGUGAUCUAGCCAUGGGCAGGUUGAAGGUUGAGUAACAUCAACUGGAGGACCGAACCGACUAAUGUUGAAAAAUUAGCGGAUGACUUGUGGCUAGGGGUGAAAGGCCAAUCAAACCUGGAGAUAGCUGGUUCUCCCCGAAAGCUAUUUAGGUAGCGCCUCGGACGAAUACUACUGGGGGUAGAGCACUGUUAAGGCUAGGGGGUCAUCCCGACUUACCAACCCUUUGCAAACUCCGAAUACCAGUAAGUACUAUCCGGGAGACACACGGCGGGUGCUAACGUCCGUCGUGGAGAGGGAAACAACCCAGACCGCCAGCUAAGGUCCCAAAUUACUACUAAGUGGGAAACGAUGUGGGAAGGCUCAGACAGCCAGGAUGUUGGCUUAGAAGCAGCCAUCAUUUAAAGAAAGCGUAAUAGCUCACUGGUCGAGUCGGCCUGCGCGGAAGAUGUAACGGGGCUAAGUAGUAAACCGAAGCUGCGGCAAUGUGCUUUUGCACAUUGGGUAGGGGAGCGUUCUGUAAGCGGUUGAAGGUGUGUGGUAACGCAUGCUGGACGUAUCAGAAGUGCGAAUGCUGACAUGAGUAACGAUAAAGGGGGUGAAAAACCUCCUCGCCGGAAGACCAAGGGUUCCUGUCCAACGUUAAUCGGGGCAGGGUAAGUCGACCCCUAAGGCGAGGCCGAAAGGCGUAGUCGAUGGGAAACGGGUUAAUAUUCCCGUACUUCUUACAAUUGCGAUGGGGGGACGGAGAAGGCUAGGUGGGCCUGGCGACGGUUGUCCAGGUUCAAGUGCGUAGGCUUGAGAGUUAGGUAAAUCCGGCUCUUUUUAAGGCUGAGACACGACGUCGAGCCACUACGGUGGUGAAGUCAUUGAUGCCAUGCUUCCAGGAAAAGCCUCUAAGCUUCAGAUUGUAAGGAAUCGUACCCCAAACCGACACAGGUGGUCGGGUAGAGAAUACCAAGGCGCUUGAGAGAACUCGGGUGAAGGAACUAGGCAAAAUGGUACCGUAACUUCGGGAGAAGGUACGCUCUCGACGGUGAAGUCCCUCGCGGAUGGAGCUAUUGAGAGUCGCAGAUACCAGGUGGCUGCAACUGUUUAUUAAAAACACAGCACUGUGCAAAAUCGUAAGAUGACGUAUACGGUGUGACGCCUGCCCGGUGCCGGAAGGUUAAUUGAUGGGGUUAGACUUCGGUCGAAGCUCUUGAUCGAAGCCCCGGUAAACGGCGGCCGUAACUAUAACGGUCCUAAGGUAGCGAAAUUCCUUGUCGGGUAAGUUCCGACCUGCACGAAUGGCGUAAUGAUGGCCACGCUGUCUCCACCCGAGACUCAGUGAAAUUGAAAUCGCUGUGAAGAUGCAGUGUACCCGCGGCUAGACGGAAAGACCCCGUGAACCUUUACUACAGCUUGGCACUGAACAUUGACCCUACAUGUGUAGGAUAGGUGGGAGGCUUUGAAGCACGUACGCCAGUAUGUGUGGAGCCGUCCUUGAAAUACCACCCUUGUAGUGUUGAUGUUCUAACGUCGACCCCUUAUCGGGGUUGCGGACAGUGCCUGGUGGGUAGUUUGACUGGGGCGGUCUCCUCCCAAAGAGUAACGGAGGAGCACGAAGGUGGGCUAAUCACGGUUGGACAUCGUGAGGUUAGUGCAAUGGCAUAAGCCCGCUUGACUGCGAGAAUGACAAUUCGAGCAGGUGCGAAAGCAGGUCAUAGUGAUCCGGUGGUUCUGAAUGGAAGGGCCAUCGCUCAACGGAUAAAAGGUACUCCGGGGAUAACAGGCUGAUACCGCCCAAGAGUUCAUAUCGACGGCGGUGUUUGGCACCUCGAUGUCGGCUCAUCACAUCCUGGGGCUGAAGUCGGUCCCAAGGGUAUGGCUGUUCGCCAUUUAAAGUGGUACGCGAGCUGGGUUUAGAACGUCGUGAGACAGUUCGGUCCCUAUCUGCCGUGGGCGUUGGAAGAUUGAAGGGGGCUGCUCCUAGUACGAGAGGACCGGAGUGGACGAACCUCUGGUGUUCGGGUUGUGUCGCCAGACGCAUUGCCCGGUAGCUAAGUUCGGAAUCGAUAACCGCUGAAAGCAUCUAAGCGGGAAGCGAGCCCUGAGAUGAGUCUUCCCUGAUACUUUAAGUAUCCUAAAGGGUUGUCGGAGACUACGACGUUGAUAGGUCAGGUGUGUAAGUGCUGUGAGGCAUUGAGCUAACUGAUACUAAUUGCCCGUGAGGCUUAACCAU